UACGUAGGGUGCGAGCGUUAAUCGGAAUUACUGGGCGUAAAGCGUGCGCAGGCGGUCGUUCAAGUCGAGUGUGAAAGCCCCCGGCUCAACUGGGGAGGGUCACUCGAUACUGAUCGACUCGAAGGCAGGAGAGGGUAGUGGAAUUCCCGGUGUAGUGGUGAAAUGCGUAGAUAUCGGGAGGAACACCAGUGGCGAAGGCGACUACCUGGCCUGUUCUUGACGCUGAGGCGCGAAAGCUAGGGGAGCAAACGGG
rnacentral:rRNA from 1 species